GGGGUUGUGGCUCGGUGGUAGAGCGCUCACCUGGCAUGUGUGAGGCCCUGGGUUCAAUCCUCAACGCCACA
rnacentral:tRNA from 1 species